AAAGGCUUGAGUUGUCUGUUGAAAACAUCAUCCGAGAUUGGCUUGAGAGUUCCGGAAUACCUGAGCUUCGGGAAAUGCUGCCUGUGUCAUCUCAGCAGCCCAAGCUCCUCAGCACUGUGUCUCCUGCCCGUGGGAACUCAUUCUCAUAAAGCAUGUGGGCCUCCAACAUUUUUGUCAAGCAUGUAACCUGCCUAUAUGUCCGAUUUGCAUUCUCCCUGCCAGCUAAGUACCUUUCCUCUGGUUUUGAUUUCAAAAGAGAUAUUUGGUUGGUUAACAUAGUCUGGUGUGAUGCUUUUAUAGUGUCAUUAUUCUUUUGAAAAUAUUUUAAUAUUUUGUUUAUGAGCAUUUUGCCUGCGUGCACCACAUGUGUGCAGUGACCACA